AGUAAUACAUCGGAACGUGUCCUGGAGUGGGGGAUAGCCCGGCGAAAGCCGGAUUAAUACCGCAUACGCUCUGAGGAGGAAAGCGGGGGAUCUUUCGGGACCUCGCGCUCAAGGGGCGGCCGAUGGCAGAUUAGGUAGUUGGUGGGGUAAAGGCCUACCAAGCCGACGAUCUGUAGCUGGUCUGAGAGGACGACCAGCCACACUGGGACUGAGACACGGCCCAGACUCCUACGGGAGGCAGCAGUGGGGAAUUUUGGACAAUGGGGGCAACCCUGAUCCAGCAAUGCCGCGUGUGUGAAGAAGGCCUUCGGGUUGUAAAGCACUUUUGUCCGGAAAGAAAGCUUCCUGGUUAAUACCCGGGGAGGAUGACGGUACCGGAAGAAUAAGCACCGGCUAACUACGUGCCACAC
rnacentral:rRNA from 1 species